UUGGUGGAGAAAGAAGAAGAUGUUGACUGAUUUAUUGAUAAAAAUGUAGAUUGCAUAUGCGCAUAUAUGAAAUAUGAUAUACAUUAUAUGCGCAAUCAGAUAAAAAUCUAUAUGUGUGAAAUUUAAUAUGCAUUUUAUUCAUAGGUGUAAUAAAAAAAAAUCACCCGUGGCAAUACACGAGGGUUCUACUAGUGCUUCGUCAUUUUUAAGGCCUCACAAUCUAUUAAGGUCUUCGAUUUAUAAUUGGGUCACCCGAUUUUGACAGGGUCAACAAUUUCUCAAGGAGCUCUCCUAUUUAAUUCUUUUAAUUCACUAUGUUUCCUAAUUUUGAAUCUUUUUCAUUCAAUUGAGGUUUUCAAUUGUGGAUUGGGUUUACGAUUUUGAUCGGGUCAACAAUUUUUCAAAUCAAUCGGUAGCAGCCAGCCUACAAAAACAUCUCAAUCCCAUGCACCCUCCAAUUGCCUAGAAAAAAGAAGUGACAACAUGUGAUAUUAUAGCACCAAUAUAGUACAUGCAGCCAUCAACGCAGAAAUUUCCCGACAUAAAUUUACGUUAGUUUGCGGAUAACACAAAACCACACCACGAAAUACCCAUCAAUCGCCGCAUUUUAUAAAUAAAAAUGAAAUACACUCCAUCAUCUCCCUACCCGCCAAACUAAAUAUUUCACCAGUUUCAAAAUUUAAGGGGUAUUAGUUUUUUCGAAAGUCAAAAUUCUUUAACUUUGACCAAGUUCAGAGCAAAAAAUAUCGACAAUAUUAUAAAAAGUAUGAAAAUUCAUUUCAUGAUGAAUCUAAUCAUACAGAUUAGACAUUAUCGAUUUUGAUAUAUUUCUCUACAAAUUUGAACAAACCUAAAAGGUUUGAUUUUUCAAAAAAAAACAAUACACCUCAUAUUUGGAAAUAAAGUGAGUUUUUUUUUUUAAGAAAUCCAACAACACCAACGGCGCAGCAAAGUGCGCCCUACCCUUCUACUACCUCUGUCCCAUAAUAUAAGAACAUCUAGUGUCAAAAACGUUCUUAUAUUAUGGGACGGAGGGAGUAGUUCAUAUACCACACCCCAUUAAAGGUCAAGUUGUAGCCACACACAUAUGAGAGAGAGGAGACUGUGGAGUGAGUGAGAGUGCGCGAAAAUGCGCAGGGGCGCGCAAGAGCGGAGGCACACACUUGCACGACCCAGUAAGUGCGACCGUUCGCGUCGUGAUUCAUGCACUUGUGUGUACUGGAAAAUUGUGAAAACCCACUGGUAGUUGAUAUACAUCAGAAUACGGUCGAGUAUUCAUGUCGGUCGUGUACAGAUACGUGGUAUGUACUAUUUUUAUUAUCCCUUCUUUGACUACGGAUGGACCUUAUAUGUUUACUUCUUCGCUUCCUGUUCAUCUCCUUACUCCUGUCCUACAUUUUUAAUCUGGAAGAACUCUUUUUCUCCUGUACAUCGCCACUGUUGUUUCAUCUUCUCUCAUCCGAUUCUUUCUAUUCCCUUCACAUUCAUGUAAUUUCUUUGCUUUGCUGCUUCACCUACUGUGGGUAUUCUGUGCACUAUCAAUAUGGGAUCUUUUCGAGAGGAGUUUAAUGGAUUAAAGUUGCAAUUCGACAGGUAAUUUAUUGUGUUACUUCUUCUCUUCUACUACUAUUCUUACUUAGUCACAUAGGUCACUCCUAUCUUUCUAUCUGCCAUUUUAUCGAUACAGAUUUGCAGACCUCAGGUUAUCUGAUGCAAAGUCUUGUUUACUAUCUCACUUUGUGCGGACUACUUUGAUGUUACUAACAUUCAAUCAUCACACGAUUCUGAAUCGGCAACUGGGGAAUAUGGUUGUCUUUCACAACAAACUUUUUUUUACAGACCCACAGAUUCAGGAAUCUGAAUCUGUGCCUUCUCUCGAUUCAGUGCCAAUGGAUAUGUGAGUUUAUUCUGAAUACAACAUCAACAUACUAGGUGAUUCUGAAAUAUUUUCCUUCCAUAUAAGUAGUUUAUUUCUGCAUCCUCAAGUUAUGUUAUCUAAAACUUGUUGCAUUUAAGUUUCGUUCGUGUUACUUAACUAGUUCUUAAUGUCAUCAUGUACUGUAGCUUUCAAAAUUUUAUGCAUUCUAAACUUAGUGCUGAUUGUGAUACUGAUUCUAGUUUAGACCAAAUGUCUUCGCUCUCUAAUAUGAGUAUGCCUCCCAGUCCAACUUCGUCUGAUAUACCUCUGCCAGUCAGUAACGAAUAUAAUAGAUUGUCUCAACUUUUUUCUCGGUACAGACUUCUAUUCCAGUCAUUUCUACAAAUGUUGAUCACCAAUUGGAUUUUUCUAAAAUUUUAGUUUUCUUUCUCACUUAUUUUGCUUACUUUUUUCGGUUGUCAAGAGAAUGUAAAUUAUACUCAUAUCUGCUCACAGCCGAUAGAUGAUGAACAUGAGGGGGAACCUGAUCCUAAUGACACUGCUGACUACAACAGAGUUUCACAAGAAUUUGAAGGGUACAUACUUUCGUGUGAUUUGUGUCAUAUGUAUCUUUCUUUCGUGCCCUGUUUCUAUGACGGUUCUUUCUGUUAUUUACUCCCCCUGUUAACAUUAUUUCAGAUGACACAUCAGUCUUCAUUCUACCAAUGUCUCAUUUGAUUCACUUGAUGUUCUGUCCGAUGUUCCUCCCUUGAUAUUGCUCAGUUUCACUCUAUGCCUUCACCACAAUCACCUCAAUCAGUGCAUACUAAUGCUUCAGAUGAUUCCACUACAGGUAAUUAACGCUUGUCAUCUUCUAUGCCAAUAGAUGAAAAAAAUGAUGCCGACGAGCAAACAUGCACCGGCAACUCAUAUGUCACAUGACAAUUCCGUUCCACAUGUUCAGCCAGCAAAGAAUUCUCGGUUUUGUGCUCUCCGAAAAUCAUUAUAUGCCUAUUCAACAUGGACAACAGAAACUAGUAUGUGCGAAUCUAUCAGAACAUGCUUAAAUACUCUCACCGAGGGAUAUAACUUCUAAAAUUAAUACAAUUGGGAGAUGUCUUUGGCAUCUGGUAUGGAAA